AACUGACUCGCUCCUAAGUGAGUUCUGCGUGCUGUGGGCUGAAAAUUGCAUAUAAAAGCCAAUAAUAUAAGUUAUUACCAUGUAAAGAAGCUCAGUUAGUGCAAUUAAAUUGUUUUUUUUUUUGGUUUUGCCUCUUCUCCACUGCAACAAUAACGGGUCUUUAAUGUAGCAUAAGCAACAACACUAACUAAAUAAAAUAGAAAAACAAAAACUAUGUAAAUAAUCUGCAAAAAAAGAAAAA
rnacentral:sRNA from 1 species